CCCUUAGAUGUCCUGGGCCGCACGCGCGCUACACUGACAUGUUCAACAAGUUUCUCCUAGUUCGACAGGACUGGGAAAUCUUUGAACGCAUGUCGUGAUAGGGAUAGAUCAUUGCAAUUAUUGAUCUUGAACGAGGAAUUCCUAGUAAACGCGAGUCAUCAGCUCGCAUUGAUUACGUCCCUGCCCUUUGUACACACCGCCCGUCGCACCUACCGAUUGAAUGUUUCGGUGAAGAUUCCGGAUAGGACUGAUUUGAUUUAUUUCAUUUCUGACCUAAAAGCUAUCUAAACCUCAACAUUGAGAGGAAGGUGAAGUCGUAACA
rnacentral:rRNA from 1 species